GGCUCUGUGCGGGGGCAGUAUUGUAGCCAAUGAUGUUUAUCCAAGGCGCAAUGAUUGCUAAUUGAAAACCGUUCUCAGGGAUGCCUGGGUGGCUCAGUCGGUUAAGUGUCCGACUUCGGCUCAGGUCAUGAUCU
ensembl:snRNA U4 U4 spliceosomal RNA